GGAAGAGCUGCAGAGGGUCUAACACACCAGCUGUGCUCCGGCAGACUCGGCCAUGUCCCCUGAACCCAUAAACCUAAUCUACUUUCCUCAGGAUGCAAACAUCUUUACAUGUCACAUCGAAUGUGAGCGACGCUGAAGUCCUGCCGGAGCACGUUCAGCCAUAGACUGAGACCACUGAAGACAACCACAGAACGCCACAGGAGGUCUUUUCUACCACAGACCACCAGACUCUACAGAUGAGGAAGCCAGAGGCGAUGGUGUUGGUGAGGAAAAAUUCCCUGAGACGGUAUGAGAAUGAAACCUUCAGAGGAACCAGAUUUAAAAGGAAAUCCAUCAUCAUCUGGGUGACACCAGAUAGUGUGUUAAAAACAUCAUCCUAAAGUCAAGUGCAAUUGUCUAAUCAGGAGCUAUUAAGCAACAUAUUUCUGUUAUUGUGUGUGCAAAAGAUUUUGUAGGUUUUACUUUCUUUAUGUGUGUGCGUAUGUGUGGGCCCUACUAGUGAAUAGCUGUCCAGCUCACAGGGAUUACAUUGGCCAUGGACUUGGCUUCAGCCGGAAGUUCCCACUGCUCUGGCUAUCUUAGUGGAAAAUGCAUGUUUCUCAGAACUGCUAGAGCUGGUCUUGAUUCAGAUGCAGUGUCAUCAAAAGAUGUGAACACAGAGUUUUGGCUCUAAUUUGUUGUAUUUAGUCUCCACAUAUCCAAUAUCAAUACAAUUGUCUUACAAAGAACAUGCUUGGACAUCAAAAAUUUCUUGUUGACUUAUUGCCUAUCCAGAGAGAGGUCUGCUUUAUGACCUGUUGGGAGAAUGAGAGAACAGCUCCAUAAAAUCUGACACAAGCAAUACAGAGCUCCUACAAAUUUUGAAGCACAUAUUUAUGGUUUUGAGAAGACUAAGAAGAACAUGGCUGGAUUAAAAGAAUACUGAAGCACUAAGUAUCUACUUUAUUAUGUGUGUGGGGGUUUUUAAUAUAUGUGUGGGGCUUUUACAAAGACAUGUCAUAUAGCUGACAACACGCUGAUAUAUCAAUUUGCCCUCUAAUCAUGUUCAUCCUUUUGCUUUCAAAUAUGAUACUACCUUGGAUAUUCCUGUAUAACUACAGUAGUGCUAUCUGGACCAUUGUUUAAAAUUUAAGAUCAAUUUUGGAAAUCCAUUCAAGCUUUUAACCACUGCUUCCGAGAUCAGCCUUGAGCAGACGCUUCAUUUUAAAUAUUAGAAAGGCAUAUUUCCUCUUUGCGUGUAUGAUAAACCUAUUUAUACAUUUUAUAAUGACUCAGACUUGUGCAGAAUAAAUCUAUAUAAAUAAGACAAACUUAUCCGAGAGUGUGCCUAGUUAUGUAGCAUGAACAGCAGAUUAAAUACAUGGUCUUUGGCUUCACUUGUCUUGA